ACUCCUGCGGGAGGCAGCAGUGGGGAAUAUUGGACAAUGGGCGCAAGCCUGAUCCAGCCAUGCCGCGUGAGUGAUGAAGGCCCUAGGGUUGUAAAGCUCUUUCACCGGUGAAGAUAAUGACGGUAACCGGAGAAGAAGCCCCGGCUAACUUCGUGCCAGCAGCCGCGGUAAUACGAAGGGGGCUAGCGUUGUUCGGAUUUACUGGGCGUAAAGCGCACGUAGGCGGACUAUUAAGUCAGGGGUGAAAUCCCGGGGCUCAACCCCGGAACUGCCUUUGAUACUGGUAGCCUUGAGUUCGAGAGAGGUGAGUGGAAUUCCGAGUGUAGAGGUGAAAUUCGUAGAUAUUCGGAGGAACACCAGUGGCGAAGGCGGCUCACUGGCUCGAUACUGACGCUGAGGUGCGAAAGCGUGGGGAGCAAACAGGAUUAGAAACCCGAGUAGUCCCA
rnacentral:rRNA from 1 species